rnacentral:rRNA from 1 species
ACAGGGAUUACCUCAGUAACGGCGAGUGAAGCGGUAACAGCUCAAAUUUGAAAUCUCCCUUCCGGGCGAGUUGUAAUUUGUAGAAGAUGCUUUGGGUAUGGCCCCGGUCUAAGUCCGUUGGAACACGGUAUCAUAGAGGGUGAGAAUCCCGUAUGUGACUGGGUGCUUUUGCCUAUGUAAAGCUCUUUCGACGAGUCGAGUUGUUUGGGAAUGCAGCUCAAAAUGGGUGGUAUAUUUCAUCUAAAGCUAAAUAUUGGCCAGAGACCGAUAGCGCACAAGUAGAGUGAUCGAAAGAUGAAAAGCACUUUGGAAAGAGAGUUAAACAGUACGUGAAAUUGUUGAAAGGGAAGCGCUUGCAACCAGACUUGCACGCGGUUGAUCAUCCAGGCUUCUGUUUGGUGCACUCGACCGUGUUCAGGCCAGCAUCGGUUUUGGUGGUUGGAUAAAGGCCUUGGGAAUGUAGCUUCUUUCGGGGAGUGUUAUAGCCCUCGGUGCAAUGCAGCCUACCGGGACCGAGGACCGCGCUUCGGCUAGGAUGCUGGCGUAAUGGUUGUAAGCGACCCGUCUUGAAACACGGACCAAGGAGUCUAACAUCUAUGCGAGUGUUUGGGUGUCAAACCCAUACGCGUAAUUAACGUGAACGGAGGUAAGAACCCUUAAGGGUGCAUUAUCGACCGAUCCUGAUGUCUUCGGAUGGAUUUGAGUAAGAGCAUAGCUGUUGGGACCCGAAAGAUGGUGAACUAUGCCUGAAUAGGGUGAAGCCAGAGGAAACUCUGGUGGAGGCUCGCAGCGGUUCUGACGUGCAAAUCGAUCGUCAAAUUUGGGUAUAGGGGCGAAAGACUAAUCGA